rnacentral:rRNA from 1 species
AUGGGUUCCUCCUCGCCUCUGUGUCUGCUCCUUCUCCUCCUGCUGGCCUCGGCGGCGGCUGUAGCACACGCAUGGCCGGGCGACAACGUUUGGAAGCACACACUCGUGUACACGCACGAGAAGCUGACGGGCCCUAACUCCACAUGGUUGAUUACGGUGCAGUCCCAGCUGCGCGGUGACAACUUCAGGCAGUUUGGUGUGGAAGACAACGAGCUGCGAGACGGCCCGGACCCUCUUCGCUCAUCUCUCUGCGGCCGGUUCCAAGCCCUCUUCGCUCUGGCUGGUCUGGUGAGCCCACCGGGCAUGGAGUCCGCCGUCAACUUCUUGUUCACGGCGGGGAUGUUCCGCAGGAGCAUAGUGUGUGUGUCGGGCCCCAUUCUGGACUUCGAGAGCACCCGCGAGCGCAAAAUCAUGGGCGGCACCGACGUGUUUCUGGUGGCGCGCGGGUACACCUUCAAGCACUAG